AACGAACGCUGGCGGCAGGCUUAACACAUGCAAGUCGAACGCCCCGCAAGGGGAGUGGCAGACGGGUGAGUAACGCGUGGGAACGUGCCCUUCGCUUCAGGAUAGUCCCGGGAAACUGGGUUUAAUACUGGAUAUGCCGUAUUGGGAAAGAUUUAUCGGCGAAGGAUCGGCCCGCGUUGGAUUAGCUAGUUGGCGGUGUAAUAGACCACCAAGGCGACGAUCCAUAGCUGGUCUGAGAGGAUGAUCAGCCACACUGGGACUGAGACACGGCCCAGACUCCUACGGGAGGCAGCAGUGGGGAAUCUUGGACAAUGGGCGCAAGCCUGAUCCAGCCAUGCCGCGUGAGUGAAGAAGGCCUUAGGGUUGUAAAACUCUUUCGCCGGAGAAGAUAAUGACGGUAUCCGGAGAAGAAGCCCCGGCUAACUUCGUGCCAGCCGCCGCCGUAACAC
rnacentral:rRNA from 1 species